rnacentral:rRNA from 1 species
UGAAUACGAGACGCUAAGGCGUCGAAGUAGUGUAUGUCAUACUUCCAAGAAAAGCUUGCACUGUCAUAGAUAAAAAACGCCUGUACCAUAACCGACACAGGUGGGUAGGUAGAGUAUACUAAGGGGCGCGAGAUAACUCUCUCUAAGGAACUCGGCAAAAUAACUCCGUAACUUCGGGAGAAGGAGUGCCUUAUUCGUAAGGUUGCAAUAACAAGAUCCAAGCAACUGUUUAUCAAAAACACAGGUCUCCGCUAAGUCGUAAGACGAUGUAUGGGGGCUGACGCCUGCCCAGUGCCAGAAGGUUAAAGAAGUUGGUUAGCAAUUGCGAAGCUGAUAACUGAAGCCCUGGUGAACGGCGGCCGUAACGAUAACGGUCCUAAGGUAGCGAAAUUCCUUGUCGGGUAAGUUCCGACCCGCACGAAAGGCGUAAUGAUUUGGAUACUGUCUCGGAGAGGGGCUCGGUGAAAUAGACUUGUCUGUGAAGAUGCGGACUACCUGCACCAGGACAGAAAGACCCUAUGAAGCUUUACUGUAACUUGAAAUUGAAAUUGGACUUUAUUCGCGCAGCAUAGGUGGGAGGCGUUGAUUAUAAUCUUGCGGGAUUAUUGGAGCCAUCAGUGAGAUACCACUCUUGUAAUGUUAGAUUUCUAACUUUGAAUCAUUAUCUGGUCAAAGAACAGUUUCAGGCGGGCAGUUUGACUGGGGCGGUCGCCUCCUAAACGGUAACGGAGGCGUACAAAGGUUUUCCUCUGAACGGUUAGAAAUCGUAUCUAGAGUGUAAAGGCAUAAGGAAGCUUGACUGUGAGACCUACAAGUCGAGCAGGGACGGAAGUCGGUCUUAGUGAUCUGACGGUACUGAGUGGAAAGGCCGUCACUCAACGGAUAAAAGUUACUCUAAGGAUAACAGGCUGAUCUCCCCCAAGAGUUCACAUCGACGGGGAGGUUUGGCACCUCGAUGUCGGCUCAUCGCAUCCUGGGGCGGUAGUACGUCCCAAGGGUUGGGCUGUUCGCCCAUGAAAGCGGUACGCGAGCUGGGUUCAGAACGUCGUGAGACAGUUCGGUCCAUAUCCGGUGUAGGCGUUAGAAUAUUGAGAGGAGCCUUCUUUAGUACGAGAGGACCGAGAAGGACAUACCUCUGGUGUACCAGUUAUCGUGCCAACGGUAAACGCUGGGUAGCUAUGUAUGGAGUAGAUAACCGCUGAAAGCAUCUAAGUGGGAAGCCCACCUCAAGAUAAG